CAGAUGCUGAACGUGAAGGAUAACGUUGCGUCAGCAACGGCCCGAAGGGCGAGGCAAAGCCGAGUCAUCCUGCACGACCUACCA
rnacentral:sRNA from 1 species